rnacentral:rRNA from 1 species
CAGUAGCCGCGGUAAUACGAAGAGGGCUAGCGUUGCUCGGAAUGACUGGGCGUAAAGGGCGCGUAGGCGGCGAUCAAAGUCAGGCGUGAAAUUCCUGGGCUCAACCUGGGGGCUGCGCUUGAUACUUGGUUGCUUGAGUGGGGAAGAGGGUCGUGGAAUUCCCAGUGUAGAGGUGAAAUUCGUAGAUAUUGGGAAGAACACCGGUGGCGAAGGCGGCGACCUGGUCCUUGACUGACGCUGAGGCGCGAAAGCGUGGGGAGCAAACAGGAUUAGAUACCCGCGUAGUCCCUGUCUCUUAUAA